AUGCCUUCCCAGGACCUCCAAGGCCCCUGUGGCCCCUUCCUUUCUGCAGCUUCACCCCCCAGCUCUCCCCCAGACACACCCCACACCCUGUGCUCCCGCCACGCUCGCCACCUCCCAGCCUCCUUCCAACACGCUCCUCCCACGGACCCCGCGUGCUGCGGUUCCCAUGGGUUUCCUCCCCGGGCGUCCGAGCGCUUCUCAAGGACGAGACCGGCUGUGCUGCCCGCACACGUGGCUCGUCCAGAUGCUCCGGUGUCCCCGACGGGACCAGCCCCAGCCCCUGGUGGCAGCAGGUUCCUCCACGGGCUGCUGUGGGUUUUGCUUUGUUUUCUUUUGUCUCAUUUUGGCUACAGUGUUUUGACGGGAGCUUGUGAGAAGUUAAGAGCGACUAGUUCAAGGAACAGGGUCGCCGUGGAAUGCACGACCCCUCUUCUCUUCUCCCCUCUCCACACUCUCGCACACUCAGGCUUCCUGCCGCUGCCACCCAAGGAAAUCCCUGGCCCCGAGCGUCGGAGCCGCUGCGGAGAGGACGGGAAGCCGCUGUCUUCUGACCGUGGGCCAGUCUUGGGCGUCAGCAACGAAAACGGGCUCCAGCUAACUGAAAUAGGUGGGAAUUUAUAGGAAGGAGACUGGGGCGAGGGGUGAGGAGGAAGAAUUAGGCUUAGGAAAGGGUGGAAAUGAGGGCGAGCCUGAGGGCAGGGCCACAGGAGCACAGCGGUGGGGGAAGGUUUGGUCACCUUGCCCCCUGGGUGGAACAAUGACGCUCAUCUCUGUCCGUGGGACACCACCAACCACCUCCAUGCCCUCGUGGGGUUCAGCUGGGACCCAAAGUUCAAGGACACAUCAGCCGGUGGACGGAGCCCAAGUCAGGGGCCUGUCCUCAGGGUGUGUGUGAGAGAGAGACUGUCCACUUCCAGUGUGGACGGUGGGUCCGAGCUCACAGAGACGGCGAGCAGAUGUGGCGCAAGCAUUGAGCACUUGCUUCCCACCUGGGAGGUGCCAGGUUCGGUUCCCAGCACCGCCUAUUAUAAAGACAAACAACAAGCAAAGCAAAUGAAGAAACAAUUCAACUCAACCGAGCCGAUGGGGCUCAAUCCCCAGCCCUGGUACCUCAAAAAAAAAAAAAAAAAAAAAAAAGAGAGGGACUGGUGACAGAUACCAGGUAAUAAAAACAGGACAAAUGUCCACUUGUCCACGGCAGCUCAGAAGUGAAUCUUUGAGGGGGUCACUUGGUCUCGGGCCCCGCCUGCACAGGGGUAGCUCCUUUUUAUGGACAAAGGGCCAAGUAAUGGGACAGGGCAUUUAGUGUCCCUUGGUGUGGCGAGGGAAGCGCCAGCCGUGGCUGCUCAUUUAAAGUGGUCUGGGGCGGGAAAGCCACAUGAAAUGAAAGCAAGCAACUAGGGAUUUAUUAAUAUUGAAAAAAACACGUGAAAGAAAGUUGAAUGCCGAGCGGUCAUUCCGCUGGCUUUUGACUGAUUGCCACACAGCUGCUUCUGCAGCGCUGCCUGCACUUAGAGGCAGAUGCUAGCGAGCCGCCACGGCUGUUUCUCCCACGCUUUCAGCUCCCCGCCAACGCCCCUGAACGCUGGGUGGCCGUGUCGCUGAUCCUUACAGUCCUUGCCUCGGGAACUGACAGCCUGCUUCCUUUUUUUCUGGAUCCUUCAAACCCUAAUUAUUCAAAAAAUAAAUUCAAGAGCCUGGGGCAGCAGCUGAAUGCAUUUUUUUGUUUGGAGAAGUACAAUUUUCAGUAGAAAUCUCCCUAUGGCAAAAACAGCUCCGGCUUAAACAUUUUUUUUCUUGCCCCAAGGUCAAGUAUUCUGAUGAAUCUCAGCAGUCAUUGGAUCCAUUUCCUGCCAAACUGUGACAAACCAACAAGAAGAUCAUGAUUAAUCACCCCCAAGCCCUUUGCGGCAAACAAAUGGGACAGUGUGCGAAGCAAGACAGGUUGUCCACAUUCACCUCCAAAAUUUGGUAUGGGUUAAGUGACUUUUGCACAGAUCUUCACAGUUUGCAUAGAGCUUUAUGGCUUGCACAGAGCUUUAUAGUUUGCCCUCUUACAUACAUUAUUUAUUUGAUCCCCACGAUAGGCCGCUAGGCCACCUCCCUUUCUCCUGGAGGAUUGCAAUCACCCCCUAACUUUCUUUCUUUAUGGAAAGUUGGGGUCUGCUUAACACACAAUAAAAUGCACAGGUCUCAUUGUUCACUUCCAGGAGUUUUGACAAUUGUAUACACCCAUGUAACUACCAACCCAUAGCAAGAUAGAAAACGUUUCCAAUCCCAAGGAACAGAGAGAGUCUGCAACUGCAAGCAAGACAGCCCCAUCCACCUGCCCCAUGGGGUCUAAGCCCCCUCUCAGUUAGAGGUGGAGUGGGCAUCGCCAUCCCAGACUCCUCAGGACUGGAGGAUGAGCGAUGGACUAGAGUGGACAUUAUUAUUCUACUACAGGCUUGUCAUCUAGCAAUGGAAGCAUUUGUAUCAUUGGUAUAAAGGCAGUGGCCACCCAGAGGCUCUGAGGGGAGGGAAAGGGAAGAACAGGUGUAAUAUGGGGGCAUUUUCGGGACAUUGGAAUUGUCCUCCAUGAUGUUGCAAUGAUGGAUAC
ensembl:lincRNA